AGAGUUUGAUCAUGGCUCAGGAUCAACGCUGGCGGCGUGCCUAACGCAUGUAAGUCGCACGCACGGUCUUGUGACCGUGAGUGGCGAACGGCUGAGGAACACGUACGAACCUGCCCGCUUGUGGGGAAUAACGCACCGAAAGGUGUGCUAACACCGCGUACGCUCAUGCUUCGGCAUGAGGAAAGCCGUAAGGCGCAGGCGGAGGGGCGUGCGGCCCAUCAGGUAGUUGGUGGGGUAAUGGCCUACCAAGCCCGCGACGGGUAGCUGGUCUGUGAGGACGAUCAGCCAGACUGGGACUGAGACACGGCCCAGACACCUACGGGUGGCAGCAGCGAGGAAUCUUCCACAAUGGGCGCAAGCCCGAUGGAGCAACGCCGCGUGGAGGACGACGGCCUUCGGGUUGUAAACUCCUUUCGGGGGGGAUGACACGGACAGUACCCCCAGAAGCAGCCCCGGCUAACUCUGUGCCAGCAGCCGCGGUAAUACAGAGGGGGCAAGCGUUGUCCGGAUUUACUGGGCGUACAGCGCGCGCAGGCGGCUGGGAACGUGCCGUGUGACAAGCCACCGCUUACCGGUGGAGGGCCAUGGUAGACGUCCCGGCUAGAGGCAGGGAGAGGGAUGUGGAAUGCCCGGUGGAGCGGUGAAAUGCGUAGAGAUCGGGCGGAACACCGCGGCGAAGGCGGCAUCCUGGUCCUGUCCUGACGCUGAGGCGCGAGAGCGUGGGGAGCGAACUGGAUUAGAUACCCUAGUAGUCC
rnacentral:rRNA from 1 species